rnacentral:rRNA from 1 species
UAAAGGUAUUCCGGUAGACGAUGGGGAUGCGUUCCAUUAGAUAGUAGGCGGGGUAACGGCCCACCUAGUCUUCGAUGGAUAGGGGUUCUGAGAGGAAGGUCCCCCACAUUGGAACUGAGACACGGUCCAAACUCCUACGGGAGGCAGCAGUGAGGAAUAUUGGUCAAUGGGCGAGAGCCUGAACCAGCCAAGUAGCGUGAAGGAUGACUGCCCUAUGGGUUGUAAACUUCUUUUAUAAAGGAAUAAAGUCGGGUAUGCAUACCCGUUUGCAUGUACUUUAUGAAUAAGGAUCGGCUAACUCCGUGCCAGCAGCCGCGGUAAUACGGAGGAUCCGAGCGUUAUCCGGAUUUAUUGGGUUUAAAGGGAGCGUAGAUGGAUGUUUAAGUCAGUUGUGAAAGUUUGCGGCUCAACCGUAAAAUUGCAGUUGAUACUGGAUAUCUUGAGUGCAGUUGAGGCAGGCGGAAUUCGUGGUGUAGCGGUGAAAUGCUUAGAUAUCACGAGGAACUCCGAUUGCGAAGGCAGCCUGCUAAGCUGCAACUGACAUUGAGGCUCGAAAGUGUGGGUAUCAAACAGGAUUAGAUACCCUGGUAGUCCACACGGUAAACGAUGAAUACUCGCUGUUUGCGAUAUACGGCAA